ACACUCCUACGGGAGGCAGCAGUGGGGAAUUUUGGACAAUGGGCGAAAGCCUGAUCCAGCAAUGCCGCGUGAGUGAAGAAGGCCUUCGGGUUGUAAAGCUCUUUUGUCAGGGAAGAAACGGUGAGAGCUAAUAUCUCUUGCUAAUGACGGUACCUGAAGAAUAAGCACCGGCUAACUACGUGCCAGCAGCCGCGGUAAUACGUAGGGUGCAAGCGUUAAUCGGAAUUACUGGGCGUAAAGCGUGCGCAGGCGGUUUUGUAAGUCUGAUGUGAAAUCCCCGGGCUCAACCUGGGAAUUGCAUUGGAGACUGCAAGGCUAGAAUCUGGCAGAGGGGGGUAGAAUUCCACGUGUAGCAGUGAAAUGCGUAGAUAUGUGGAGGAACACCGAUGGCGAAGGCAGCCCCCUGGGUCAAGAUUGACACUCAUGCACGAAAGCGUGGGGAGCAAACAGGAUUAGAAACCCGUGUAGUCCCAUG
rnacentral:rRNA from 1 species